rnacentral:rRNA from 1 species
UACUUAGUGGCAGACGGGUGAGUAACAUGUAGGUAUCUGCCCUUUGGCCUGGAAUAACACGAGGAAACUUGUGCUAAUACCGGAUAAGUCUUUACGGAGAAAGCUUUAUGCACCAUUGGAUGAGCCUGCACUUGAUUAGUUUGUUGGUGGGGUAAUGGCCUACCAAGACUGUGAUCAAUAGCUGAUUUGAGAGGAUGAUCAGCCACAUUGGGACUGAGACACGGCCCAAACUCCUACGGGAGGCAGCAGUGGGGAAUCUUGCACAAUGGGGGAAACUCUGAUGCAGCNAUGCCGCGUGAGUGAAGAAGGCCCUUGGGUUGUAAAGCUCUUUCGUCGGGGAAGAAAAUGACUGUACCCCNAAUAAG